AACCUUAUGUUUAACUAUAUAAGGCUCGUCCUGCCCGGUGAUAUUUUUUAACGGCCGCAGUACCCUGACUGUGCAAAGGUAGCAUAAUCAUUUGCCUCUUAAUUAGAGGCUAGUAUGAAUGGAUUCAUGAAAAUAAAGCUGUCUCUUCUAUAAAUAAAAAAAUUGGUUUUUGGGUGAAGAAACCCGAAUAAUUAUAAAGGACAAAAAGACCCUAUUGAGCUUUAUUUAUAUAAAAUACAAAUAAUCAUAUUUAUUAAAGUCUGUUUAUACUAAAUUUUGUUGGGGCGACAAAGGAAUACUCUUAACUUCCUUUUAUAUGAAGAAUUCUAUUCUUUUAAAAGAUCCUAUUAAGAUUAAAGGAAAUAGUUACCAUAGGGAUAACAGACUAAUCAUUCCAGAGAGCCCAAAUUGACGGAAUGGAUUGGCACCUCGAUGUUGGCUUAGGGCAUCCCUCUGGCGUAGAAUCUAGAAAAGGUUGGUUUGUUCAACCAUUAAAGCCCU
rnacentral:rRNA from 1 species